rnacentral:rRNA from 1 species
CCUACGGGAGGCAGCAGUGAGGAAUAUUGGUCAAUGGUCGGGAGACUGAACCAGCCAAGCCGCGUGAGGGAUGAAGGUACAGAGUAUCGUAAACCUCUUUUGUCAGGGAACAAAGGCGGGGACGUGUCCCCGGAUGAGUGUACCUGAAGAAAAAGCAUCGGCUAACGCCGUGCCAGCAGCCGCGGUAAUACGGAGGAGGCGAGUGUUAUCCGGAUUUAUUGGGUUUAAAGGGUGCGCAGGCGGUCUGUUAAGUCAGAGGGAAAAGCCCGGGGCUCAACCCCGGCCCGCCGUUGAAACUGGCAGUCUCGAGUUGGAGAGAAGUAUGCGGAAUGCGCGGUGUAGCGGUGAAAUGCAUAGAUAUCGCGCAGAACUCCGAUUGCGAAGGCAGCAUGCCGGCUCCACACUGACGCUGAGGCACGAAAGCGUGGGUAUCGAACAGGAUUAGAUACCCUUGUAGUC